rnacentral:rRNA from 1 species
CCAGACUCCUACGGGAGGCAGCAGUGAGGAAUAUUGGUCAAUGGGCGAGAGCCUGAACCAGCCAAGUCGCGUGAAGGAUGACGGCCCUACGGGUUGUAAACUUCUUUUGUCAGGGAGCAAUUGGGUCCACGCGUGGGCUUAGCGAGAGUACCUGAAGAAAAAGCAUCGGCUAACUCCGUGCCAGCAGCCGCGGUAAUACGGAGGAUGCGAGCGUUAUCCGGAUUUAUUGGGUUUAAAGGGUGCGCAGGCGGAAUGUCAAGUCAGCGGUAAAAUUUCGGGGCUCAACCCCGUCGUGCCGUUGAAACUGGCGUUCUUGAGUGAGCGAGAAGUAUGCGGAAUGCGUGGUGUAGCGGUGAAAUGCAUAGAUAUUGCGCAGAACUCCGAUUGCGAAGGCAGCAUACCGGCGGCGAUCUGACGCUGAGGCACGAAAGCGUGGGUAUCGAACAGGAUUAGAUACCCUAGUACG